CGAUAGUCCACUCUCUCUCCCUCCACCUUCCCAUCCUGUGGCGGCAGACCUGAGCAGAUCCCGUCGAUUGGUGGUGGUUCAAGCACCCUUUCCCUCAAAUCAGAUGAGCUCAAGGCCCUCUCCCUCGGAUCCAAGUAGUACGAGGCUUCUAGCAGAGGAUCUGGCUGCGAGCGGUGGCGGCACCCUCUACCAAUCUCUCUCCCACCCGAGUGACACCCCUCUCCCUCAGAACCGAUCGCGGCGGGUCAAGGUGGCCUCUCUACUGCAGAACUAGUCACGGCGGGUCACGUCCGCCCCUCUGCUGCACAUCCAGUUGCAGCGGUGGUAGAUCCAGUCAUGGCUGCAGCGGAUCGAGGCACGACGGCGAGACCGAAGGGAGGAGCCUGCUCCCCCAGUGGCGGUGGCGCGUAGGGGCACGAGAGCCAGGCCUAGUUCCAGGCCCGAUUAGGGCUGGAUAUGGCAUUUUUUCUUUUUGUUUUUUAUUUGAUUUACUGUGGUGGGUAUUUGAACCAUCUCGGUAAAGAUUUAUUUACAUGACCUUUUAAUUGAGGUGAUUGUUGAUAUUUGGAAACGCAAUCAGAAUUAAUCCGCAAGCACAUGGAUAUCGGUGAGCACUUCACCCGGGAUGUUAUCCAGAGUAUCGUAUUUAUAUUUUUACCACUAGGAGAAAGAGUGCAUCUGACUAACCUGGUCUAUUACUACUAACCUUUAGGCUACAAAGAAUGUUUCUCGAUGUGAGCGAUGUAUAGAGAAGACUACAACCGUAAUCUCGUUCUAACCUUGGUAAGGAUGAUCUACUGUUCUGUUGGGGAGGGUUACGGAAUCUAGACACCAUAGAGGAUGUUCAACCCGCACCUAUAAACCCUAUCGAUUCUACUAAUCGGAUAUGGGCUGCAAAGGUAACUCGGAAAUGUCACGCUCCUCGCUACUACCACGAUCCAGCUAGUCAGGGAUAUCUAUGAGUAUCCUAGCCCAAACACCACGUUUACGCUAGAGAUGAUUACUCUAAACUCUACGCGAAGAGAUCAAAGUAAACUCAUAAACCAAAG
rnacentral:lncRNA from 1 species